rnacentral:piRNA from 1 species
AAGCGACUGAAAGAAAGAACUGA